AUGUAUCCUAUUGCUUGGGCUGUUGUGGAGAAAGAAAAUUAUGAGUCAUGGUUCUGGUUUCUUGCCAAGAUAAACCAGGACUUGAAAAUAAGCAAUCAAGGAGAUGGAUAUGUAUUUAUGUCAGAUCAACAAAAGGGACUUAUAGGGGCAAUGGAGGACAUUUUUCCUAAAGCUGAGCAUAGAAUGUGUGCAAGACACAUAUAUGCUAAUUGGAAGAAAAAACACCCAGACCAUGAUCUCCAGAAAAGGUUUUGGAGAUGUGCAAAAUCACCAAACAAAGUGAUUUUCAACUACAACAGGGCCAGGCUAGCACAAUUUACUGUUGAGGGUGCAAAAGAUAUGAUGAACACUGAUCCAGUACAUUGGAGUAGGGCCUACAUGAAGCUGGGGUCUAAUUGUGAUUCAGUUGAUAACAACAUGUGUGAAUCUUUCAACAACUACAUCCUGUUAGCUAGGUACCUUGCUAUUGUCUCAAUGCUUGAGUGGAUCAGGUGCAAAAUUAUGGUGAGGGUACAAGAAAAUAGAGGGAAGUCAGUUAACUGGAAAGGAACUAUAUGUCCCAACAUUUUCAAAAAACUGAAGUAA
rnacentral:rRNA from 1 species